CACAAAGUAAAAUAGUAGUAACAACAAACAACAGGAAAUAAUAGUAAGUAACAAUUAAACUCUCAAAUGAGUAGAAGAGGGAAUGGUAAAGGAGCUAAAGAAUAGGGCGUGGUGAAGUAAGAGUGCUAGGGCUGAGAAGAAUAGAACAACACCAUGCAAAAGAAGCAGUAAGUUCUUGAUUCAAGGUUGAAUAUAUGCUUGUAUAAUUAAUUACGGUUUUGGUUUGCUGGCAAGACAUUAUUUUUCUUUUUAAAUUUCUUUUGGUGGAAGGAUUGUUUAUGAGUAGUUGGGGUUGGGGAAGAAUGUGUCAGAAGAGGAAAUGAUUUUUAGUAUAUUGAAAUUAAACCGUAAACCUAGUUGUUGUCAGAUAAUAUGGUAACCUAGUUUUUACUUAAAAACUUUUUAACUGAUCACUUUAGAAAAUCAGUAAACAAAAAUCUUAGUUCAAACCAUACUUUUGGAAUGAAUUUUGAUAUAAAAUACAUCUGAUACUUUUGGAAUGAAUUGUGAUAUAUUUAAUUUAGUUCCAAUUCAAAUUCUUGAUCCAACCCCAAAGUAGACAUAUAUAGUAGUACUGAUCAUAUUGUAAACAUAAAAGCAUAAUAAGUUACAACUCUCAACUAAGUUGAGGCAAUGGCAACACAGCUAAAGAAGUGCCUUUCCAGGGCUUAGAAGAAUAGAAGAGCACCAUGCAAAAGAAGCAGGCGAUAGAGGAAAACUAGCAAGUUGACUGCAUGAUCCAAAUAAGUUUUGAUCUGAUAGAUUUCGUGGCGUGACAUGUGAUGUUUCUUGUGCUUCAUGAUUUGUUGAGUCAUUACAGGCCGCGCUAAUUGAUUCAACUUGGUUGUUUGAGGAGGAAGAAGGACGAAGGAACUCUACAGCAACGCUAUUUCUUUUUAUGAUUAGACUUGAACUUUUAGCAUAUGAAUUGAAGGAGGAAGAAGGACGAAGGAACUCUACAGCAACGCUAUUUCUUGGUAAUGAAACAGGUGAGAGAUCAAGUGGUGGAGGAGCCACAUCUUGUUGAUGGCAAUGGUGCAAUUGGUUGCUUAGUCAUUGGUUUUGAUGGGAGCCUACGAACUCCAUGAAGUGAGGAAUGAUAUGAAGGUAACGGCUUGUUUUUCUUUACUUCUUGUGGAUAUUUGGAAUAUGGAAUAGAACUAGAGGAAGAAGCAAUAGAAGAAGAAGAAAUAGCUGAAUAUGAAUAAGAAUCCAUUUUAAUUUUCUAUAUUCCGAACUUUUUGUGUAAGUUUGUCUUAGUAGUAAACCUCAAUAAGAAUACAUUUGCGGCUUUUGC
rnacentral:lncRNA from 1 species